rnacentral:rRNA from 1 species
GGGCCCGCACAAGCAGCGGAGCAUGUGGUUUAAUUCGAAGCAACGCGAAGAACCUUACCAAGGCUUGACAUCCUCUGACGUUCAUAGAGAUAUGAAUUCUCUUCGGAGCAGAGAGACAGGUGGUGCAUGGUUGUCGUCAGCUCGUGUCGUGAGAUGUUGGGUUAAGUCCCGCAACGAGCGCAACCCUUAUUGCUAGUUGCCAGCACGUAGAGGUGGGAACUCUAGUGAGACCGCCGGGGACAACUCGGAGGAAGGUGGGGACGACGUCAAAUCAUCAUGCCCCUUAUGUCUUGGGCUACACACGUGCUACAAUGGCCGGAACAAAGGGCAGCGAAGGAGUAAUCUGGAGCGAAUCUCAAAAAGCCGGUCUCAGUUCGGAUUGAGGGCUGCAACCCGCCCUCGAUGAAGUCGGAGUUGCUAGUAAUCGCGAAUCAGCAUGUCG